rnacentral:misc_RNA from 1 species
UUGUUAAAUCUCUUAUCCUUUUUUGUUUACCAUUCUAUCAGAUCUUGAUUGUUCAGUUUGUUUCUGUAGAGCUAUUUGCAUAAUGUUGUAUACAAGACAUGUACAUUUUGCCCACAAAUUAUUGUAUGUACAUAUGUGUACAAAAAUGGACAUGCUAACCCAAUGUAUCUCGGGUUCUAUGAGAAGUAGGAAGAUUUGGCGAAGUCAGUCAUAAAAUGAUUUUACACCUGAAUUUUGUACUUAACAUAAUGUUUGGAGAUUUAUUUUUUGAAAACUUUUCCUCCAAGGAAAUCAACAUUUUCAUACAGCCUAAAUAACCAAAUUUAUGGUGUGCACUUUUUGAUUAUUUUGUAGCUGUGUAUAUUGGACACAACAAUAUAUGGAUCAAUUGUUAAACAUUUGUUUUGUUAAGACUUGGUUCCCAAGACCAAAUGUAAUUAAAUUUGACUACAUUAGGCAUGUUUUAUAGGUUAUAUAUGUAUUUGACUUGUCUUGUAUUUUUUAACGUAUAAAUGUUGAAACUCUUU